CGGCACUCCAGAUGUUUUGGACUACACCUCCCAUGGUGCUUUGCCAGCAUUAUGGGGGAUGUAGUCCAAAACAUCUGGAGUGCAG